GCCUAUGGCCACACCAGACUGAACAAUCGUGAUCCUGUUUGAUCUCAGAAGCUAAACAGUCCCGGGCCCGGUUAGUAAGUACUUGGGUGGAAGACCGCCUGGGAAUCCUGAGUGCUGUAGGCU
rnacentral:rRNA from 1 species